ACAGCCCUCCUCCUCUGUAGCUGCUCAUUAUGACCCUGCCUUGGUGAGCCUCCCUCUGUCCUUACCUGCCAUGGACACCAAGCUCCUUUUCUAUGUGGGCUUCUGUCUCUUGGGAGCAGACCACACCCAUGCUGGAGUCUCCCAGUCCCCAAGGCACAGGGUCACAAAGAGGGGACAGAAUGUAGUUUUCAGGUGUGAUCCAAUCUCUGGACACAUUAGCCUCUACUGGUACCGACAGACAGUGGGGCAGGGCCCAGAGUUUAUGAUGAAUUUCCAGAAUGAACGUGCAGCAGACACAUCAGGGAUGCCCAGUGAGCGGUUCUCUGCUGAGAGGCCAGAGGGGUCCUUCUCCACUCUGAAGAUCCAGCCCACAGAGCAGGGGGACUCGGCUGUGUACCUCUGUGCCAGCAGCUCAGCCACAAACCAUCUCUCCCCUCCCAGCGGCUCUCUCAGCAGGUGUGGCUUGUCCAACCCAUUCUUGGUGCAGGAUGCCCUUGGUCCUCCUUCACUCUGCCCACCGCUGCCUUCCCCACAGGAUGCUGUUCCUUCCAGGACUGUGGCCUUGAAGGUUAGCCCACGUUUUCUUACAGUAUAA